rnacentral:rRNA from 1 species
AUUGAACGCUGGCGGCAGGCCUAACACAUGCAAGUCGAGCGAGCGGCGGACGGGUGAGUAAUGUAUGGGAAACUGCCUGAUGGAGGGGGAUAACUACUGGAAACGGUAGCUAAUACCGCAUACCAUCAGAUGUACCCAGAUGGGAUUAGCUAGUAGGUGGGGUAACGGCUCACCUAGGCGACGAUCCCUAGCUGGUCUGAGAGGAUGACCAGCCACACUGGGACUGAGACACGGCCCAGACUCCUACGGGAGGCAGCAGUGGGGAAUAUUGCACAAUGGGCGCAAGCCUGAUGCAGCCAUGCCGCGUGUAUGAAGAAGGCCUUAGGGUUGUAAAGCACUUUCAGCGGGGAGGCGUUACCGACAGAAGAAGCACCGGCUAACUCCGUGCCAGCAGCCGCGGUAAUAC